GAGACCUUCCAUCUUACAUCUUGACAACCCUAGAGAUAGGGCUUUCCCUUCGGGGACAGAGUGACAGGUGGUGCAUGGUUGUCGUCAGCUCGUGUCGUGAGAUGUUGGGUUAAGUCCCGCAACGAGCGCAACCCUUGAUCUUAGUUGCCAGCAUUCAGUUGGGCACUCUAAGGUGACUGCCGGUGACAAACCGGAGGAAGGUGGGGAUGACGUCAAAUCAUCAUGCCCCUUAUGACCUGGGCUACACACGUGCUACAAUGGACAGAACAAAGGGCUGCGAGACCCAAGGUUUAGCCAAUCCCACAAAUCUGUUCUCAGUUCGGAUCGCAGUCUGCAACUCGACUGCGUGAAGCUGGAAUCGCUAGUAAUCGCGGAUCAGCAUGCCGCGGUGAAUACGUUCCCGGGCCUUGUACACACCGCCCGUCACACCACGAGAGUUUGCAACACCCGAAGUCGGUGAGGUAACCUUUAUGGAGCCAGCCGCCGAAGGUGGGGCAGAUGAUUGGGGG
rnacentral:rRNA from 1 species